GAUGAACGCUGGCGGCGUGCCUAAUACAUGCAAGUCGAACGCAGUGGGGACGGGUGAGUAACACGUGGGUCACCUCCCAUCAGAGGGGAUAACGCUUGGAAACAGGUGCUAAACCGAUACUGAUGGAUGGACCCGCGGUGCAUUAGCUAGUUGGGGAGGUAACGGCGAACAAAGGCCACGAUGCAUAGCCGAGCUGAGAGGUGGAGCGGCCACACUGGGACUGGGACACGGCCGAGACUGCUACGGGUGGUAGCAGGAGGGCAUCUUCGGCAAUGGACGAAAGUCUGACCGAGCAACGGCGCGUGAGUGAAGAAGGUUUUCGGAUCGUAAAACUCUGUUGUUAGAGAAGCGGUAUCUAGCCAGAAAGCCACGGCUAACUACGUGCCAGCAGCCGCGGUAAUUC
rnacentral:rRNA from 1 species